rnacentral:lncRNA from 1 species
UCUCUAGUAAUCUCUUAGAGGGAGUUUCCACUACUAACAUUUUUCCUAAACCUUCUAGUCUUAAUUCUAGGUUACCAAAAAAUGCAUAAGAAAUAAAACAAUGAGUUGCACUAGUAUCGAUCACAGCCUUGCCAGAAUAUUAUGAAUAGAAAGCAUACCCUGGAUGAGAACAGGAACAAAAAGGACUUCAAUUUCAUCUAAAUGGUACAUUCGACCUUGUGCUAUGGGUUAGGCUAUAUCCUUCGAUUGUUGAGGGCAGUCCUUUAUAAGGUGUUGGGUGCUUCCGCACUAAUAGUAGGCGUGAUUGAUACGCCGACAUGGUAGGUCAUCAUGCGAGCGACCACAAAGUUGAUAAGGUUGGUUAGUUCAGGCAGGUGGGGCUGUAGGUGGGGGUAAGGCAGGAAGAAGGGCAAUUCUAGUUUGUUUGUCUAGGGGCUACUUACUAGGUCAGGCAAUCUCUUUCUAAGCUAUUGGGGCUAUUGUUAGGUUUGAACCCAAAUAAAGCAUUAGUGCUUAGUCGAGAUAAGAUCUUCGGCCAAUUUGACAUGUUCAAGCACCUCUACAUAUGAGCUGGGUCUCACAUCACGACUCGAUCAUAAAUGUCGG